UGGCUCAGGACGAACGCUGCGGGCGUGCCUAAGAAAUGCAAGUCGAGCGAGGGGAGAGCUUCGGCUCAAUCCUAGCGGCGAACGGUCGCGUAACACGUAAGCAACCUGCCCCUAAGACCGGGAUAACAGCUCGAAAGGGCUGCUAAUACCGGAUGUGGCUCCCUUUGGGCAUCCUUAGGGAACUAAACCGAGCAAUCGGCUUGGGGAUGGCUUGCGGCCUAUCAGCUAGUUGGUGGGGUAACGGCCUACCAAGGCGACGACGGGUAGCUGGUUUGAGAGAACGGCCAGCCGGACUGGGACUGAGAUACGGCCCAGACUCCUACGGGGGGCAGCAAUUAGGAAUCUUGCACAAUGGGCGAAAGCCUGAUGCAGCGACGCCGCGUGGAGGAUGAAGUCUUUCGGGAUGUAAACUCCUUUUGUCAGGGAAGAAAAACAUGACGGUACCUGACGAAUAAGCUCCGGCUAACUACGUGCCAGCAGCCGCGGUAAUACGUAGGGAGCGAGCGUUGUCCGAAGUUACUGGGCGUAAAGCGCGCGUAGGCGGGCUGUUAAGUCGGAAGUGAAAGGCUGGGGCUCAACCCCAGUAGUGCUUCCGAUACUGGCAGUCUUGAGGGCGGUAGGGAGAAGUGGAAUGACUGGUGUAGCGGUGAAAUGCGUAGAUAUCAGUCAGAACACCGGUGGCGAAGGCGGCUUCUUGGGCCGUUCCUGACGCUGAGGCGCGAAAGCCAGGGGAGCGAACGGGAUUAGAUACCCCGGUAGUCCUGGCCGUAAACGAUGGAUACUAGGUGUAGGGGGUAUCGACCCCUCCUGUGCCGUAGCUAACGCCUUAAGUAUCCCGCCUGGGGAGUACGGCCGCAAGGUUGAAACU
rnacentral:rRNA from 1 species